rnacentral:rRNA from 1 species
AUAUUGGACAAUGGGCGCAAGCCUGAUCCAGCCAUACCGCGUGGGUGAAGAAGGCCUUCGGGUUGUAAAGCUCUGUCGAGCGGGACGAACAACCUCUGGGUGAAUAGCCCAGGGGUCUGACGGUACCGCUAAAGGAAGCACCGGCUAACUCCGUGCCCGCAGCCGCGGUAAUACGGAGGGUGCAAGCGUUAUCCGGAAUCAUUGGGUUUAAAGGGUCCGCAGGCGGACCUAUAAGUCAGUGGUGAAAGCCUGAUGCUCAGCAUCAGAACUGCCAUUGAUACUGUAGGUCUUGAAUUCGGUCGAAGUGGGCGGAAUGUGACAUGUAGCGGUGAAAUGCUUAGAUAUGUCACAGAACACCGAUAGCGAAGGCAGCUCACUAGGCCUGGAUUGACGCUCAUGGACGAAAGCGUGGGGAGCAAAC